UCCCUGAUGGUCCAGUGGUUUGGACUUGGCCCUUUCACUGAUGAGGCCCAGGUUCAAUCCCUGGUCUGGGAA
rnacentral:tRNA from 1 species